rnacentral:rRNA from 1 species
GACGAACGCUGGCGGCGUGCUUAACACAUGCAAGUCGAACGGUGAACGAGGGAGCUUGCUCCCUCCGGAUCAGUGGCGAACGGGUGAGUAACACGUGAGCAAUCUGCCCCGAACUCUGGGAUAAGCGUUGGAAACGACGUCUAAUACCGGAUACGACGCGGGAGGGCAUCCUCUCCGCGUGGAAAGAACUUCGGUUCGGGAUGAGCUCGCGGCCUAUCAGCUUGUUGGUGAGGUAACGGCUCACCAAGGCGACGACGGGUAGCCGGCCUGAGAGGGUGACCGGCCACACUGGGACUGAGACACGGCCCAGACUCCUACGGGAGGCAGCAGUGGGGAAUAUUGCACAAUGGGCGGAAGCCGGAUGCAGCAACGCCGCGUGAGGGACGACGGCCUUCGGGUUGUAAACCUCUUUUAGCAGGGAAGAAGCGAAAGUGACGGUACCUGCAGAAAAAGCACCGGCGAACUACGU